rnacentral:lncRNA from 1 species
GUUAAAGUGAAGGGAAAAACCCCAGACACAAGGAGUUAACCGAACAGUGCACGGUAUAAAGAUAAUUAUGAACCUUUGAUUGCGAACGUAGAGUUCUGUGUUGUACCACACCGACGUGUGCAAAGAACUCAACAAAUUCAACCGGAUGUAAAAUCCGUAUGCUGUGGAAGACCACCUUCCCAGCCGUUUUGACGCUGCUUUGUUAUCGCAAAACAUGGUUAUACGUUAAUGCCGCCAUGCUUUGCCCCACAGAACGCUAGCUGCUACGAUAGGGUAAAGCUCGAACAGCGCAGACGACUCUGACCCUAGGGCGAACGUACCAGCUUCGACUGGCCAUCCCUCAGCAACCAUUACCCUUGGAAGAAACCCCCUAACCCAACCGAGGGAGCCGCAUCCUGAAGCUGGACUGGUAGAGCUGUGAGAGAAAAUACGCUGCGGGGGCUAACGCGGGGACUGCAGUAGCCAUGGUAGCAGGGCACGUGCCAGGUGCGUAGCCUGUGAAGGCGGAGGAAGCCGAGCCUGAUGGUUGCUGGAAGUAGAAAGGCGCCGUGGCGACCGACGACAGCGGGUUGGGGGCCUGGACCCGUCCGGGAGUUCCGCAUGGCGUUUCGACGGCGUCCAUCCUGGCGCCAAUGCUUUGCACCAACUCGGCGAGGGUUUGUAGAACCAGGCGGAUGUCCGUGUUGGGAACUUGUUGGUGGUGUUGUUGAGGAUACCGGGGACCGAAAAGAACGGCUUUCUGCGCUCGCUUGCCGGGACCAGAAGUAGUAGGCCGACCAGCACGAAUCCGAAGUUAUGACCUCUUGGACUGACCUUGGAACCAUUUUGAACCGACUUGGGGAGAAGAUUGAUCACACUUCAUGCCCACCCAGGAAUCAGAUCAACAUAUGCAGAGACUACACUGGCAAUGUCCACAACAUAAUGAGGAGUUCCCUUCAGGCCUUCAGACGGCGGCGUUUCAAUCCAGAGGCCAGAUUGGACGUGGUUUUUGUUGACAGUGAACAAACAUCUGAAGGUGCAGUAGAUGGUGGUGGACCCACUCGAGAGUAUUUAAGGUUGCUAAUGAAGGCCAUUCAUCAGUCCAGCAUAUUUGAAGGACCUGAGACUGACAAAAGAUUGACCCUCGACACUUGUGGU